CGAGCCACAUGCUCUUAAUGAUUCUCUUACCCGUAUUCAAAAGCCAAACCAAGAUUAUAUUAAGAAGCAAUCUGCUAGGGAAAGGCCAACAAUAUGUCCUAUUUGUUUUAAUGAUGUUAGCACCCAUUUUACACGCCAUCUACUUCGACACCACAAAAAGAGUAAAGAAGUGCAGCUCCUUGAAAGUCAUAAACCUCGGAGCAAAGAACGUUUAGCUCUAAUUGAGUCAUUAAGAAAGCAAGGAUACUUUCAUCUAAAGAAUGAAAAAGGGAUUUUGAAUCCUGUCAGAACCUCAAAAAACCCAGAUGUUGAGUAUUUUGUUUGCACAUAUUGCUUAGGUUACUUUAGUAAGAAACUUUUGUAUAAGCAUGUCAAAGGUUGUAAAAAACGCCCUCCAGACGAAGCAACGCCUGGAAAUAAUUGUCUAGCCAGAUCUCAAACUUUUGCAUCAUUACUUGUCGUAAAAAAUGAUGAAUUUUUGAAAAAAUCUCGUCUGAAAAAGGAAGUUUUUGGAAUAAUGCGUCCAGACGAGAUUAGUGCAGUAGCGAAAAAUGAUUCAAUAAUUUGUUUGUAUGGAGAAACGCUAUUAAAUAAACACAAAAGACAACAAAUUGCUACCGUUGUUUCAAAUAAGAUAAGAGAAAUGGCCAGAUUAUUGAUUGCUUUAAAAUUAAUGGACAGAACAAUUUGUACUCUUUUUGACGCUUUAAAGCCUGAAAAUUUUAGGCAUUUGGUAUCGGCAGCUAAAGAAAUAAGUGGCUACAAUGCCGAAACAAAAAUGUUCAAGGCACCCUCGCUUGCGUUGCAUAUGGGCACUAAUUUGAAAAUCUUAUGUGACGUAGCCUUAAAAGUUGUCAUUGAAAAGAGACAUUUGCCGAACUUAAGAUGGGAAGAUGAUAGAGAAAAGAAAACAGAAAUCAAGGAACUGAAAAAACUAAUAAGUGGUCAUUGGUGUAAUGAGCUUUCAAGUUUGGCUUUGAAAAACUUAAAAGAAAAACAUUGGGAAAAACCAACAGAACUACCUCUAACAAGCGACAUUUUAACGUUACAAACGUUUAUUAGUGAACAGGCGGACAAAGCAUAUAAUAACUUGAUAAAUGAGGGAAAAACAAAUAUGCGACAAAAUUAUAAAACUUUAGCACAAUGUGUUUUGGCUUUAACAAUAAUGUUCAAUCGAAAACGUGUUGGCGAUGUUCAGUAUUUAAAAUUGGCAACAUACAUUUCGGCUGACAAGAACUCGGUUAUUGAAGGUGAACAAGCAUUUAUGCGUUCUCUCACAUCGGUGGAACAAAUUUUAAGUAAACGAUUUAAAAGAGUGGUCACUGGUGGUAAAGGCUCUAAACCAGUUCCAAUUUUAUUUUCCAUAAAACUACAAAAAAUUAUAGAUUGUCUAAUUAAAAUCAGAACCGAAACAUCUAUUGUGCCAACAUCAAAUCCUUUCCUAUUUGCAAAUCCUGGAUCUCAAGACAGAUGGAUGAAUGGAAGCAACGUAAUGAGAAAACUUGCUUCUAGUUGUGGAGCAAAAAAUCCUAAUCUUUUAACAUCUACCAGAUUUAGAAAACAUAUUGCUACGACUUUACAACUAAUGAGUAUGGAAGACAAUGAAAUGGAACAGGUUGCUACAUUUAUGGGUCAUACUAAAAAAACACAUGCAGAAUUCUAUCGAUUACCGCAAGAUAUUUACCAGACGGCCAAAGUGGCUAAGAUUCUUUUGUUAUUAGAAAAAGGAAAAGGCGAACAGUUUAAAGGAAAAAGUCUAAAUGAGAUUGAAUUAGAGCGAGAUAUCUACUACAGUUCGGAAUCAGAAAGUGAAACAGAUGAAGCAAUACCACUUGCAGAAAAAGUUCUUAGAAAAGCGGCAAAUGCUCCAUUACAAAAUAAAGAAGAAAAGAAAAACGAAAAUGCAGAAAAUAAUACAAACACAGUCACAGAACAAUUAAAUCUAGAAGAGGAAGUAUGUAAUAGCAACAUGGAACAGGAAGCAGAUGCAGAAGUAGAAGAUGUUAAUGGGAAUUCAAAGAAAACAGAAAAUACGAAUAAAAGUAUUGGAAAGAAAAAAGGUAAUUAUAAUAUAUACAAUAAGUUUUACGUUUAUGGUGUUUGUUUUAUAAAAAAAGAAAAUAAUUCAGAAAUGGAAGUAGACACUAAUAACAAUAGAAAGAAUGCAGGAGGAAAGAAUAAGCCUCUUGGAAAGAAAAGUGAAUCUUCAAACUCUGUGCGACAUCGAUGGUCAGAAAAAGAAAAAAGGAUCGUGCUGCAUCAUUUUCGUGGUCACAUUCUAAAGAAAGUUGCUCCGAAGAAACAUGAAUGCGAGGAACUUAUCUCUCAACACAAUGAUAUUCUUGGGUGUGUAAAUUGGGUGCUAGUGAAAACAUUAGUGUACAACACAUACCGUAAUCAAUAAUUUGUUCUUUGAGUUUUAAACUGUUAUUUUGUGAUAGUUGUUUGAAUUGUCUGUAUUUUUUUCAUAUUGUAUGUUUGAAUUUGAAUUGCUGUUUUAUGUUUGUGGUUUGCAUUUUCUCUAUUAUUUGUAUUUAACCAAUAAUUUGUACUUUGAGUUUUGUAC